rnacentral:rRNA from 1 species
GACGAACGUUGGCGGCGUGCUUAACACAUGCAAGUCGAACGGAAAGGCCCUGCUUUUGUGGGGUGCUCGAGUGGCGAACGGGUGAGUAACACGUGAGUAACCUGCCCUUGACUUUGGGAUAACUUCAGGAAACUGGGGCUAAUACCGGAUAGGAGCUCCUGCUGCAUGGUGGGGGUUGGAAAGUUUCGGCGGUUGGGGAUGGACUCGCGGCUUAUCAGCUUGUUGGUGGGGUAGUGGCUUACCAAGGCUUUGACGGGUAGCCGGCCUGAGAGGGUGACCGGCCACAUUGGGACUGAGAUACGGCCCAGACUCCUACGGGAGGCAGCAGUGGGGAAUAUUGCACAAUGGGCGGAAGCCUGAUGCAGCAACGCCGCGUGCGGGAUGACGGCCUUCGGGUUGUAAACCGCUUUCGCCUGUGACGAAGCGUGAGUGACGGUAAUGGGUAAAGAAGCACCGGCUAACUACGUGCCAGCAGCCGCGGUGAUACGUAGGGUGCGAGCGUUGUCCGGAUUUAUUGGGCGUAAAGGGCUCGUAGGUGGUUGAUCGCGUCGGAAGUGUAAUCUUGGGGCUUAACCCUGAGCGUGCUUUCGAUACGGGUUGACUUGAGGAAGGUAGGGGAGAAUGGAAUUCCUGGCGGAGCGGUGGAAUGCGCAGAUAUCAGGAGGAACACCAGUGGCGAAGGCGGUUCUCUGGGCCUUUCCUGACGCUGAGGAGCGAAAGCGUGGGGAGCGAACAGGCUUAGAUACCCUGGUAGUCCACGCUGUAAACGGUGGGUACUAGGUGUGGGGUCCAUUCCACGGGUUCCGUGCCGUAGCUAACGCUUUAAGUACCCCGCCUGGGGAGUACGGCCGCAAGGCUAAAACUCAAAGGAAUUGACGGGGCCCCGCACAAGCGGCGGAGCAUGCGGAUUAAUUCGAUGCAACGCGUAGAACCUUACCUGGGUUUGACAUGGAUCGGGAGUGCUCAGAGAUGGGUGUGCCUCUUUUGGGGUCGGUUCACAGGUGGUGCAUGCCUGUCGUCAGCUCGUGUCGUGAGAUGUUGGGUUAAGUCCCGCAACGAGCGCAACCCUUGUUCACUGUUGCCAGCACGUUAUGGUGGGGACUCAGUGGAGACCGCCGGGGUCAACUCGGAGGAAGGUGGGGAUGACGUCAAGUCCUCAUGCCCCUUAUGUCCAGGGCUUCACGCAUGCUACAAUGGCUGGUACAGAGAGUGGCGAGCCUGUGAGGGUGAGCGAAUCUCGGAAAGCCGGUCUCAGUUCGGAUUGGGGUCUGCAACUCGACCUCAUGAAGUCGGAGUCGCUAGUAAUCGCAGAUCAGCAACGCUGCGGUGAAUACGUUCCCGGGG